AGCUAACCCGAAGGAAGGAAGGAAGGAAGGAAGGAAGGGAUUUUUCCAAACGAAAGAAAAGAAAUUUCAAAGCCUCCCGGCCAGGAAAAGGCAGGGGAGCCAAUGCAAGUUUUCUUCCACAAGCCUUUCCUUCUUCCUCAAGGCUCCCCAGCCCCCCUCCCCCCCCAAAAAAAAAUCUACAAUGAAACUUUUUUCUUCUUCUUCACACCUGGGAAGAGAAGCUGAAAAGAGGACGAGGGGAAAUUCCUCCAGUUACUAUGUAUUUAAAGCCAAAAAAAAAAAAAAGGAAAAGAAAAUUCUGGAAUAACGAUCAGCCCCUGGAAAGGCUCUUGCUCUGCUUCUCCCCCUUCAGAAACGAUAUGGGGGGAGGGAUAUCUUCUCCUUUCCAGAUAUUUAUGUAUUGAUCGAUCCUCCAGAGACGUUUGAGACGGAGAGGGCUCUGGGGUUGCCCCCCUUCAAAAUAAGAGGGUGGGGGGGGGUUAUAGACUUGGUUUUGUUUUGUUUUCAAAGCCGACUUUUUUUUUUUCAAUAUAAAUAAACGUCUCGAAAAGGAAGACGAAAGAGACCCGGGUCCGCCUCGCGUCUUCUUUUUUCCUUCUUCCUAAAAAAAUAAAAUUCCUGAGGCGAUUUGGGGCUCUGGGGCUUCCUCCCCCCGAAGGCUUUUGACAGGUGAGGACCGAGGAGACGACUUCGGGAGGGGGGUUGGGAGAAAAUAAAUCCAAGGGGGGCCCCCCCGCCGGCGCAGCGUUUCCUCUUCGCUUCCUCGGCGUCUCCUCUUCUUCCCUCAGCGGUGCCUCUGUCGGCGGCUUCCCAGCCGAGGCAUCCUGAGCGCCGGAUGCCCUUCUCCGCCUUCCUCUUGCGCAGCCGCCGCCUUCGCCGAGUCGGCCGUCUCCUUCAGCGGGUCUCCCCCAUGCCGUUCGCCGCCGUCGUUUUCCCCCUUUUCCCCGCUCUCAAUAUUCAGGCUGUGUCGGACGACUCCCUCCCCUCAGAGCCUUAUUUCGACCAAU